GUGUCAGCAGCCGCGGUAACACGUAGGGUGCGAGCGUUGUCCGGAAUUAUUGGGCGUAAAGAGCUCGUAGGCGGUCCGUCACGUCGGAUGUGAAAUUCCAGGGCUCAACCCUGGACCUGCAUUCGAUACGGGCGGACUAGAGUUCGGUAGGGGAGACUGGAAUUCCUGGUGUAGCGGUGAAAUGCGCAGAUAUCAGGAGGAACACCGGUGGCGAAGGCGGGUCUCUGGGCCGAUACUGACGCUGAGGAGCGAAAGCGUGGGGAGCGAACAGGAUUAGAAACCCCUGUAGUCC
rnacentral:rRNA from 1 species